GUGGGGAAUAUUGCACGAAUGGGGGAAACCCUGAUGCAGCAACGCCGCGUGAGCGAAGAAGGCCUUCGGGUCGUAAAGCUCUGUCCUAUGGGAAGAAGCAGUGACGGUACCAUAGGAGGAAGCCCCGGCUAACUACGUGCCAGCAGCCGCGGUAAUACGUAGGGGGCAAGCGUUAUCCGGAAUCACUGGGCGUAAAGGGUGCGUAGGCGGCUAAGUAAGUCAGGGGUGAAAGGCAUUGGCUCAACCAAUGUAAGCCUUUGAAACUGCUUAGCUUGAGUGCGGAGAGGUAAGUGGAAUUUCCUAGUGUAGCGGUGAAAUGCGUAGAUAUUUAGGAGGAAACCCGGGGCGAAGGCGACUUACUGGACUGUAACUGACGCUAGGCGCGAAAGCGUGGGGAGGAAC
rnacentral:rRNA from 1 species